GACGAACGCUGGCGGCGUGCCUAAUACAUGCAAGUAGAACGCUGAAGAGAGGAGCUUGCUCUUCUUGGAUGAGUUGCGAACGGGUGAGUAACGCGUAGGUAACCUGCCUUGUAGCGGGGGAUAACUAUUGGAAACGAUAGCUAAUACCGCAUAACAAUGGAUGACACAUGUCAUUUAUUUGAAAGGGGCAAUUGCUCCACUACAAGAUGGACCUGCGUUGUAUUAGCUAGUAGGUGAGGUAAUGGCUCACCUAGGCGACGAUACAUAGCCGACCUGAGAAGGUGAUCGGCCACACUGGGACUGAGACACGGCCCAGACUCCUACGGGAGGCAGCAGUAGGGAAUCUUCGGCAAUGGGGGCAACCCUGACCGAGCAACGCCGCGUGAGUGAAGAAGGGUUUCGGAUCGUAAAGCUCUGUUGUAAGUCAAGAACGGGUGUGAGAGUGGAAAGUUCACACUGUGACGGUAGCUUACCAGAAAGGGACGGCUAACUACGUG
rnacentral:rRNA from 1 species